AGGACGAACGCUGGCGGCGUGCCUAACACAUGCAAGUCGAGCGGAGUUAACAAGAGGAAGUUUCGGAUGGAAUUUGUAAUUAGCGGCGGACGGGUGAGUAACGCGUGAGCGACCAACCUUGCACAGGGGGAUAACGGACCGAAAGGUUCACUAAUACCGCAUGAGACCACGGUGUUGCAUGACACAGAGGUCAAAGGAGCAAUCCGGUGCAAGACGGGCUCGCGUCCGAUUAGGUAGUUGGUGGGGUAAUGGCCCACCAAGCCUAUGAUCGGUAGCCGACCUGAGAGGGUGAUCGGCCACAUUGGAACUGAGAUACGGUCCAAACUCCUACGGGAGGCAGCAGUGGGGAAUAUUGGGCAAAUCGGGGAAACCCUGACCCAGCAACGCCGCGUGAAGGAAGAAGGUUUUCGGAUUGUAAACUUCUGUCCUUGGUGAAGAGAAGAAGACGGUAGCCAAGGAGGAAGCCCCGGCUAACUACGUGCCAGCCGCAGC
rnacentral:rRNA from 1 species